CCGUUGCCGGCGACCGGCGCACGGGUGAGUAACACGUAUGCAACCUGCCCCUGUCAGGGGGACAACCCGCCGAAAGGCGGGCUAAACCCGCGUACAUGCCACCGGGGCAUCCCGGAGGCAGGAAAGGCUUCGGCCGGACAGGGAUGGGCAUGCGGCGCAUUAGGCAGUAGGCGGGGUAACGGCCCACCUAACCGACGAUGCGUAGGGGUUCUGAGAGGAAGGUCCCCCACACUGGUACUGAGACACGGACCAGACUCCUACGGAAGGCAGCAG
rnacentral:rRNA from 1 species